rnacentral:rRNA from 1 species
ACAUACGACCAUAGACUGAAGAGAACAGGGCAUCCCGUCCGCUCUGCCAAACUCAAGCUUCAGAUCGGUAGNAUUAGUAGUUGGGUGGGUGACCACCAGCGAAUACCUACUGUUGUAUGUU